CUAAUGCAGAUAUUUUGGAUAAUCACUCGCUACAGACUCUGUCCAAGUAACUUAGGGGUGCAUAAGGCUCUGCCCCAUGGUUUACAGUCUCUUCACAACAUUGGAGAUGAGAAUGGGCAUGCUAUCUGCACCUGCAUAUUCCUACAGCUUCUGGGUCUGAUGGACAAUUGCUGGGGAGACAACCAUGCAGAAAACAUGU
rnacentral:snoRNA from 1 species